AGUAACACGUGGGUAACCUACCUAUAAGACUGGGAGUAACUUCGGGAAACCGGAAGCUAAUACCUGAUAAUAUUUCAACCGCAUGGUUCGAUAGUGAAAGGUGGUUUUGCUAUCACUUAUAGAUGGACCCGCGCCGUAUUAGCUAGUUGGUAAGGUAACGGCUUACCAAGGCUACGAUACGUAGCCGACCUGAGAGGGUGAUCGGCCACACUGGAACUGAGACACGGUCCAGACUCCUACGGGAGGCAGCAGCC
rnacentral:rRNA from 1 species